rnacentral:rRNA from 1 species
GAUGAACGCUAGCGGGAGGCCUAACACAUGCAAGCCGAGCGGUAUUUGUUCUUCGGAACAGAGAGAGCGGCGCACGGGUGCGGAACACGUGUGCAACCUGCCUUUAUCUGGGGGAUAGCCUUUCGAAAGGAAGAUUAAUACCCCAUAAUAUAUUGAGUGGCAUCACUUAAUAUUGAAAACUCCGGUGGAUAGAGAUGGGCACGCGCAAGAUUAGAUAGUUGGUGAGGUAACGGCUCACCAAGUCAAUGAUCUUUAGGGGGCCUGAGAGGGUGAUCCCCCACACUGGUACUGAGACACGGACCAG